rnacentral:sRNA from 1 species
AGUUCUUGAUUGACAGCCCGGCACUUGUUUACCACGGCGCGGCCGCCGCCGCUCGCCUCAAUGAGAUUGCUGAGCUGGCACAAAAAGGGAGCGAAGAGGGAAGAAAGGGAGAGGAAGGCGAACUUUGGGCGCCUUCGAGGGGAGCGAAUUUGAAUGGCCCCCAGCUCAUCAGCUAGUUUUUGGUUCUGAAAUCCGUUCAGGGGAUUUGCACAGGGGACGAGGAAAAUUGUAUAGAGACAUAAGCGAAUCACCAUGAUUUUUAAAUAAAAAUGAUGAUAAUUCCGAAGAAGGCUUCCACACUAUUCAUUCAGGAAGGCAUGAAUAUGCAUUCAGCUUCGAGCUUCCACAGACACCACUUGCUACCUCAUUCGAAGGCCGACAUGGCAGUGUGCGCUAUUGGGUGAAAGCCGAAUUGCACAGGCCUUGGCUACUACCAGUAAAAUUAAAGAAGGAAUUUACAGUCUUUGAGCAUAUAGAUAUCAACACUCCUUCAUUACUGUCACCCCAAGCAGGCACAAAAGAGAAGACACUCUGUUGCUGGUUCUGUACCUCAGGCCCAAUAUCCUUAAGUGCCAAAAUUGAAAGG